rnacentral:rRNA from 1 species
UACGGAGGAUGCGAGCGUUAUCCGGAUUUAUUGGGUUUAAAGGGUGCGUAGGCGGGCUUUUAAGUCAGCGGUAAAAAUUCGGGGCUCAACCCCGUCGAGCCGUUGAAACUGGCGUUCUUGAGUGGGCGAGAAGUAUGCGGAAUGCGUGGUGUAGCGGUGAAAUGCAUAGAUAUCACGCAGAACUCCGAUUGCGAAGGCAGCAUACCGGCGCCCUACUGACGCUGAGGCACGAAAGCGUGGGUAUCGAACAGG